rnacentral:rRNA from 1 species
GACGAACGCUGGCGGCGUGCUUAACACAUGCAAGUCGAACGGAAAGGCCCUGCUUUUGUGGGGUGCUCGAGUGGCGAACGGGUGAGUAACACGUGAGUAACCUGCCCUUGACUUUGGGAUAACUUCAGGAAACUGGGGCUAAUACCGGAUAGGAGCUCCUGCUGCAUGGUGGGGGUUGGAAAGUUUCGGCGGUCGGGGAUGGACUCGCGGCUUAUCAGCUUGUUGGUGGGGUAGUGGCUUACCAAGGCUUUGACGGGUAGCCGGCCUGAGAGGGUGACCGGCCACAUGGGGACUGGGGUACGGCCCGGCCUCCUCCGGGGGGCAGCGGUGGGGAAUUUUGCAAAAGGGGCGGAGGCCGGAUGCAGCAACCCCGGGGGGGGGGUGACGGCCUUCGGGUGGUAAACCCCUUUCGCCUGGAACGAAGCGUGGGUGACGGUAAUGGGUAAAAAAGCACCGGUUAACUCCGU